AGCGAACGCUGGCGGCAGGCUUAACACAUGCAAGUCGAGCGGGCAUCCUUGUGGUGUCAGCGGCAGACGGGUGAGUAACGCGUGGGAACGUGCCCUUCGGUUCGGAAUAACUCAGGUAAACUUGAGCUAAUACCGGAUACGUGCUACAGCAGAAAGGUUUAUCUGCCGAAGGAUCGGCCCGCGUCUGAUUAGCUAGUUGGUGAGGUUACGGCUCACCAAGGCGACGAUCAGUAGCUGGUCUGAGAGGAUGAUCAGCCACACUGGGACUGAGACACGGCCCAGACUCCUACGGGAGGCAGCAGUGGGGAAUAGUGGAACAUGGGGGCAACCCUGAUCCAGCCAUGCCGGGUGAGUGAUGACGGCCUUAGGGUUGUAAAGCUCUUUUCUCCGGGACGAUAAUGACGGUACCGGAGGAAUAAGCCCCGGCUAACUUCGUG
rnacentral:rRNA from 1 species